CAGAUUUCUCCAAAUUCCCUUUUAAAAAGAGCCUCCCAGAGCUGUCGAAAUCUCCGCGGGGUGAAAGCUAAACUUUUGGAGUCGCUGUGUAGCCGGGUAGAGGACACGGCGGCGCGAGCCGGAAAGGCAGGUUUAAUUCGGAAAGAAGAGACUGCAGAGGAGAGGGAAGACCGUGAGUCUGCUUUCACCUAGGUUUAAAGCGAAUCAAAGACGGCUGUAAAAAGGGAAACCGGGACCAAAAACAGAUUUGGAGCCUCGAAACUCUCCAUUGAAGGUUUGGAAGAUACGUUGCUGCAGACUUGAAACCGGCUCCAAAUCCGGCCCAAACAUGGGCUGAAAAUAUGGCGCGCUAAUCUGCUGCUUCCCCUCCUCCUCAAGUUCUUUCUGACUCUUCCCACCUUUCCCAGUUUCCCUUCCAGACGUCUGCGGCUCCCCACUCCACCCCCAGGAUAGCUACUCUACAUCCCGACAAUUCCCAGCUUCUACACCCAGGAGGAGGAAUUCUGGAACCACCCAGAGCGAACUCGUGCCGGGGCGGGGUGGGGACCGGAGGAAGGUCCUGCUCCGAAUUCUCUCCAGAGCAGAAAAGAAUUCUAGAGGCUACAUGUGGGCUGCUUUCCCCCCUUCUUCCUUUUUUC
rnacentral:lncRNA from 1 species